UACGUAGGGGGCAAGCGUUGUCCGGAAUUAUUGGGCGUAAAGAGCGUGUAGGCGGCCAGAUAAGUCCGCUGUGAAAUCUCGAGGCUCAACUUCGAGCUGUCGGUGGAAACUAUCUGGCUAGAGUCCGGAAGAGGAGAAUGGAAUUCCUGGUGUAGCGGUGAAAUGACGCAGAUAUCAGGAAGAACACCCGUGGCGAAGGCGGCUCACUGGCCCGGUACUGACGCUGAGGUGCGAAAGCGUGGGGAGCAAACAGG
rnacentral:rRNA from 1 species